AAGGAAUAUUGGUCAAUGGACGCAAGUCUGAACCAGCCAUGCCGCGUGGAGGAUGAAGGUCCUCUGGAUUGUAAACUUCUUUUAUCUGGGACGAAACACUUCUUUUCUAAGAGGCCUGACGGUACCAGAUGAAUAAGCACCGGCUAACUCCGUGCCAGCAGCCGCGGUAAUACGGAGGGUGCAAGCGUUAAUCGGAAUUACUGGGCGUAAAGGGUGCGCAGGCGGUCUUGCAAGUCAGAUGUGAAAGCCCCGGGCUUAACCUGGGAAUUGCGUUUGAAACUACAAGGCUAGAGUGCAGCAGAGGGGAAUGGAAUUCCAUGUGUAGCAGUGAAAUGCGUAGAGAUGUGGAAGAACACCGAUGGCGAAGGCAGCUCCCUGGGUUGACACUGACGCUCAUGCACGAAAGCGUGGGGAGCAAACA
rnacentral:rRNA from 1 species